rnacentral:lncRNA from 1 species
CCUGGUUUAUGCCUACUAUUGUGUUCCCCGCUUCAAUAGGAAGUUCCAACAUCAGUUUCAUGAUUCAUCCAUUAUUAAACAAGCUGAAAAUCUAAAACGUAAAAUUUCUGAUUAAAGCUUACUUUUUUCGUCCCACGCUCAACAAUAGCAUGAUCCAAUAUUAGUUUCACUAUUCUUAAAUUAUUCAACAACUUGAAAUUUUCAAAUAUUCAAUGUAAAAUAUGUAAACUGACUUUUUUCG